rnacentral:tRNA from 3 species
GUCCAGGUAGCUCAGCUGGUUAGAGCAAAGGACUGAAAAUCCUUGUGUCAGUGGUUCGAAUCCACUUCUAAGCG